AACGAACGCUGGCGGCAUGCCUAACACAUGCAAGUCGAACGAGAUCUUCGGGUCUAGUGGCGCACGGGUGCGUAACGCGUGGGAAUCUGCCCUUUGGUUCGGAAUAACAGUUGGAAACGACUGCUAAUACCGGAUGAUGACGAAAGUCCAAAGACUUAUCGCCAGAGGAUGAGCCCGCGUAGGAUUAGCUAGUUGGUGUGUAAAGGCGCACCAAGGCGACGAUCCUUAGCUGGUCUGAGAGGAUGAUCAGCCACACUGGGACUGAGACACGGCCCAGACUCCUACGGGAGGCAGCAGUGGGGAAUAUUGGACAAUGGGCGAAAGCCUGAUCCAGCAAUGCCGCGUGAGUGAUGAAGGCCUUAGGGUUGUAAAGCUCUUUUACCCGGGAUGAUAAUGACAGUACCGGGAGAAUAAGCUCCGGCUAACUACGUGCCAGCCGCCGCGGUAA
rnacentral:rRNA from 1 species